rnacentral:rRNA from 1 species
GUAGGCUGCAACUCGCCUACAUGAAGCUGGAAUUGCUAGUAAUCAUAGGUCAGCAUACUAUGGUGAAUACGUUCCCGGGCCUUGUACACACCGCCCGUCACACCAUGAGAGUUGAGAAUACCCGAAGUCCAUGUCAAAGUGGCCGAAGGUAGGCUUGAUGAUUGGGGUGAAGUCGUAACAAGGUACC